GCCACUGCACUGAUCUUUGUAGGCCCAAACAGGCCUGAAAAUCAGCGUGGGAGGGGUUGAGGCGGUGAUCUAAGAGGCCAGCAGGGGAUGGGGAACCUUUGCGGACCCCCCUGCAGCCUUUAGGAAGUGCCCCAAAGGGGCUACAGGUGCCAACUCUGCUUCAAGCUGACCACAAACCUGUCAAUCUGGAAUGAGACAGGGAUGUUCCUGGAACAUCAAAAGGGAAACAGCUCCAUCUGAUUCAGUAAACAAGUGCCGGAUACGGACCCCAAGAAUGGUAGACUCCUUCACCAAAGAGGAGAAACUCAAGGCAGGGUACAUCUCUCGUCUGCCCCAUUUUAUCUGGAUAACAAGCCUAUGUGAGAUUAUGUGAGAUGACUUGUGGGCUGUAUGUGACCUCGGUAAAGCUGCAUACCUCAUCUAACAAGAACGGAUUUUACAGCUUUGGUUAUAGGGAGAAGAAAACAACACAUCUCUUCACAAUGACCUUUGUAGCACUACAGUUAGGAGUGCUGAACAGACAUUCAGAUGCUGAGUGUUUAGCUCCGUUGCAAGGUUUAUAAAAUGUUUCAUCAUAUACUGAUUCCAACCCAGCCUUCUGAUCACAGAAAUGGAAACAAUCAUGCUUACAGCAUUCUCCUCUUCAGACAAAUGCUUCUGUAACCAUGUGCAGCACAGGGGGAAGGGGAAGGGGAGUGACAUGCUAGGGAGCAGCACUAGAAGCUCUACUUGUGUCCAGCAUAUCUUUUUGUUUGUUUUGUGCCUGAACAGAGCUAUUGUUAGAAUGGUUACAGGGCUGUCCAGGACAA